rnacentral:rRNA from 1 species
GUGCCAGCAGCCGCGGUAAUACGUAGGUGGCAAGCGUUGUCCUGAAAUUUAUGGGCGUAAAGCGCGCGCAGGCGGCCUCUUAAGUCUGAUGUGAAAAGCCCCCGGCUCACCGGGGAGGGCCAUUGGAAACUGGGAGGCUUGAGUAUAGGAGAGAAGAGUGGAAUUCCACGUGUAGCGGUGAAAUGCGUAGAGAUGUGGAGGAACACCAGUGGCGAAGGCGACUCUUUGGCCUAUAACUGACGCUGAGGCGCGAAAGCGUGGGGAGCAAACAGGAUUAGAUACCCUGGUAGUCC